rnacentral:rRNA from 1 species
UUGCAGCCAGACUUGCCCGUAGUUGCUCACCUAGGCUUUUGCCUGGGGCAUUCUUCUGCGGGCAGGCCAGCAUCAGUUUGGGCGGUCGGAUAAAGGUCUCUGUCAUGUAGCUUCCUUCGGGAAGAACUUAUAGGGGAGACGAAAUGCGACCAGCCUGGACUGAGGUCCGCGCUUCUGCUAGGAUGCUGGCGUAAUGGCUGUAAGCGGCCCGUCUUGAAACACGGACCAAGGAGUCUAACAUCUAUGCGAGUGUUUGGGUGUCAAGCCCGAGCGCGUAAUGAAAGUGAACGGAGGUGGGAACCCUUUGGGUGCACCAUCGACCGAUCCUGAUGUCUUCGGAUGGAUUUGAGUAAGAGCAUAGCUGUUGGGACCCGAAAGAUGGUGAACUAUGCUUGAAUAGGGUGAAGCCAGAGGAAACUCUGGUGGAGGCUCGCAGCGGUUCUGACGUGCAAAUCGAUCGUCAAAUUUGGGCAUAGGGGCGAAAGACUAAUCGAACUAUCUAGUAGCUGGUUCCUGCCGAAGUUUCCCUCAGGAUAGCAGUAACGUUUUCAGUUUUAUGAGGUAAAGCGAAUGAUUAGAGGCAUGGGGGUUGAAACAACCUUCACCUAUUCUCAAACUUUAAAUAUGUAAGAAGUCCUUGUUACUUAAUUGAACGUGGACAUUUGAAUGUAUCGUUACUAGUGGGCCAUUUUUGGUAAGCAGAACUGGCGAUGCGGGAUGAACCGAACGCGGGGUUAAGGUGCCAGAAUGCACGCUCAUCAGACACCACAAAAGGUGUUGGUUCAUCUAG